rnacentral:rRNA from 1 species
UGGGGGAUAUUGCACAAUGGGGGGAACCCUGAUGCAGCGACGCCGCGUGAGUGAAGGAGCACCUCGGUGCGUAAAGCUCUGUCAGCAGGGAAGAAAAAAUGACGGUACCUGACCAAGAAGCCCCGGCUAACUACGUGCCAGCAGCCGCGGUAAUACGUAGGGGGCAAGCGUUAUCCGGAUUUACUGGGUGUAAAGGGAGCGUAGACGGCAAGGCAAGCCUGGAGUGAAAGGCGGGGGCCCAACCCCCGGACUGCUCUGGGAACUGCCUGGCUGGAGUGCAGGAGGGGUAAGCGGAAUUCCUAGUGUAGCGGUGAAAUGCGUAGAUAUUAGGAGGAACACCGGUGGCGAAGGCGGCUUACUGGACUGUGACUGACGUUGAGGCUCGAAAGCGUGGGGAGCAAACAGG